AUUGAACUACACAGACCACUAGUCCUGGGUCACAGCUGACAUUUUCUUAGCAAGGGCAUGAAAUGUUUUCUGGCCCUGGGGAAGUAUCUAACGUGCAGAUAUUUCAAAGAGAGGCGUGGGUGUCUGCAGUGUCUCCCAGGCAUUCCUGGCACUGCCUCCUGUGGCACAUGCACUGGUGGUUAUUACAUGAUGUGGUCCCCGUACAUUCAUCAUUUGCUGCUCAUUCAUCGUCUCUCUUGUAUCUGCAUGUGGCACUGACAGCAUGGACUGCUGGGCAAAAAGAUGUGAAGAAGUCCUUGUUGGUGAAGCAAGUGUGGAUAAGAUGAACAGUUGGGUGCAUAGAGUAAAGAGGUGUUAAUAACAUGCAGCUGUGAUGCACCCAGUUUGUCUUAAGCCUUGCAGUAAUCUCCAUGAAAUGUUCAAAGGAGAGGGAAAGGAGAAGCUAUGGAUUCCUGACUCCCUUAAAUCUUUCAUUGAUAUUAAAAGAACUGCAAAAAGGAAUAUGGCCUGUUUGAUUUUUAGCACUGCAGGCUUUUAAAGAGCAGCAAUGCUGAGGACAAAGAUGAAUAUACCCAGUAAGAGUAUGUUGUUUUGGUUACUAAUGAUAAUGUCAGAAAAUCCAAGGACUUCUGUAUUUGAGAAUUGAAGAUUAACUUUUUAUCUUACCCUGACAUAUCUCAGCAAGAAAAGUAAUAUUUACGUUAGUGCCCUUUAAGAACUGUGUGGGUUGAAGUAUAAGAAAAGGUAUUGUUUACGGUAGGGUCUCUCUACAGGACUCCUGCUAGGAUGUUUAUGGUGAUGCAAGUACUUUCUGUCAUCAGACUCCUACAGUCCCUGUUUGAAGCAGAAUACCUCUUCGGUGUGUGGGGUUUGUUUCGUUGUUGUUUUGGUUUUGGUUUUGGUUUGUUUUGGUUUUUUUUUUUUAAGAUUAUCCUUUAGGCCAGGAUAAAGAAGUAAACAAUAUCUAUUAUUUUGCUACUUCUCUUUGCAGCCCCAGUGGUCCAUUGUGUCUGUCCCUCUUUGCAGUUUUUAAAGAAAUGGCCUGUUUUUAAGAGCGGUGGGUGGCUCUUUUUUGUGUCAUCUACACGUUCCCACUUGCUCACCUGUGAAAACUUGAUUUAAAUAGCUCUAGUCUUCUAAGCAAUACCAUUAAGGUAUUAAAAAGGAUAUUCUAGCUCAAAAUUUUGAGUUUGAAUCAAAAGGACUCUGCUCUCAAGUUUGCUGAUUUCAUCCAUCUUUGAGCCAGACUCUCCCUUAAGGGCUUUCAUGGGAGCUUUAGUUUACUUAGUUGUUUUUCCUUAGUUGAUGCUGUCUAGUGCAGCAGGCCUGAAGUCAUUGGAAGUUUGAUCAUUGACUUUCAUGAGGGAAACCUCAGGAUCUGAGCAUUUGAGAUGGAGAGGGUACUUAGCAGUACUCAGGCAAAGAUCUGACUAAGUCAACGGGAGUUUUGCCACCUUCAGAAAAUGCAGGAUGGCACUCUGCCUUUGCCUUGCCCUCCAAAAGGCUAAAGGGGGAAGCAAAACAAAUCAAAAUCAACAUGUUGUGCUCAGUUCAGACUACUUGAAAAGCAAAUGUAUUUCAAAAUGUGUCUGCACUAAAACCUUUGGAGGAAAACCAGUCCUAUUUCUUAGAUACUAAAAGUAGAAAACCUGAAAUGUAAUUAUUCCAGAAGCUUAACGCUCACAAUGUAUGAACUUAAAAUGGGUAAAGCCACUCUAUGUUUUCACAAGUUGUUUCCUCUGUAGAUAUAUGCUAGUACGUUGGAGUCACAAAAUGGUGAGUUCUUAUAAAGAGCUCUCCCAGAACGAUCUUUAGGCUUUUUCUUGUUUAAGGAAAACGAUAUGCCAGAUUAGAAAGAAAUCCAGAAGCUUCUUAUGAAGAAGCAUUUACAUCCUCAGUCAAUGCCUCGACAGUGGUAUCAGCAGGACAUUCCUCCCCAGUGUCCCGGAAAAAGCAGCUGACAAGCAGAGAUAGAGAUGUGCAUCUCUACUACACACAUAUCCUAUUAAAUGUGUUCAUUUUUCUUAAGGGGGGAAAAAAGGAAAUUAAACGGGAAAAAAAAAAAAAAAAAAGGCAGGUCAUGGGAACGUAGGUGUUUAUUCUUCGGGGCGGGACGUUUUGGCCUUUGGAAGGUGGGUUUCACCCCGGGUGCGGAGGGUGCCUGCCCGGCUCGGCGCUGCUCCCCGGGGCGGCGGCGGAAGGCGGGGGCUGCGGGGGCUGCGGGGGCGCCGGGCCGGCACCCGGGCCGGCGAUAAUUGCCUGGCUGUGGGUCUGCGGGUGUCUGUGGGUCUGUCUGUGCGUGUGUCCCGAACCGCAAGCUGAAAGAUAAUGAGACAACUGCCUCCAAAAACCUAUCCACACUCUCGUUUUCGCCUGGCAUCCCCAGGCGAUUAGCGCCGCUCGUGGGGGUCGGGGGUGCCCGAGCGCUGCGGGCGCGGCCGGCGGCAGGUUCCCGUCGGGAGGGUGCCUGGGGAGUUGCGCUGCCCCGGGGGAAUAAGGCAGGGAACGACGGACAGGUCUUAUGAAGCCGAAGGAACAGCUGGAGGCUACUGCUGGCCCCGUGCGAGAAGGAAAGUCUUGCUAUAAAUCGGGAAUCUUUAUAGCUGUUCGGCUGGAGGAAGUUUUUUGGCUGUAAACUGUCAUGCACUGCAGCCCUCGGUGAAAGUGGGGAGUCCUCCCUCCUGAGAAUCGCAGUGCAAUUAAGAUCAGAAAGAGGGAGAAGGAAAUCAAAUAAAGACGGCAGGAAUCCGAGCCGAGGAAGAACUUCAGGGUUUGGGGCUUGGUUGUUUGUUUGGGCUCUUUUUUCUUUUUUUCCCCGUUCCAAAGAUUAUGUAUAACUUCCGGAAACUUUUUUUAAUGGUCAUUUAAGAGUUUAAAGCUGGAUAGACUUCUUUUUGAAAGACCAACUAACUUUGAGUGCACACCUUAUUUGUCUGGGGUGAGUGGCGCGGUCAUUUGCGAAGUAUUAAGCAAAACGUGAAAUACAUCAAAUUAAAUUCGGCCUCAAGGCUCCUCCCUUUGCCUGAAGAGAGCGAUCCGUGCAAAGAGUAGGAACCGUAUAGAGGAGCGUCUGCUGCCGAAGAGGCUGAGGUUGCUUCCCAUGCCUUGUGUGCGCAUGCAUUCAGGUAUUAAGAAUUAGCUCCUCCUUGAAGCAUCCAUUCGGAAGAAUUAAAUAGUGUUUUUAAAACUCGGGUCGCCUAGACACACACUUAGAUCUCGUCUGUUUAUUCUUUUUUUCGGAACGGUUCAUUUUCCACCCAAACGGCCCCGCCGCUUUCAAUUCCGGCUGGUUCUGCUGCUUUCGGGUCUUAAACGCGUUCAGCGCCAGGGGAGGUCGAGCUGAGGAAGAACGGAGAGGAGCUUGCCCUGCACAGGACCCAGCACCACCAGCACCACUCUCGUCCGACCCCCCUUCCCCGGGGACCGCACCCUAAAAGGGACGCGACUUCUGUAAGGGGGGGAAGGUCCCUUCUCUCCCCUCCACCUCCACGGGGUGAGUGGCUGGCCGUGCGAGUCCUCAGAUGGGCUUAACUUCUCCUGGUGCUCGCCUUUCCCCCCCCCCCC